rnacentral:rRNA from 1 species
CACUCCUACGGGAGGCAGCAGUGGGGAAUUUUGGACAAUGGGCGAAAGCCUGAUCCAGCCAUGCCGCGUGCAGGAUGAAGGCCUUCGGGUUGUAAACUGCUUUUGUACGGAACGAAACGGCCUUUUCUAAUAAAGAGGGCUAAUGACGGUACCGUAAGAAUAAGCACCGGCUAACUACGUGCCAGCAGCCGCGGUAAUACGUAGGGUGCAAGCGUUAAUCGGAAUUACUGGGCGUAAAGCGUGCGCAGGCGGUUAUGUAAGACAGUUGUGAAAUCCCCGGGCUCAACCUGGGAACUGCAUCUGUGACUGCAUAGCUAGAGUACGGUAGAGGGGGAUGGAAUUCCGCGUGUAGCAGUGAAAGGCGUAGAUAUGCGGAGGAACACCGAUGGCGAAGGCAAUCCCCUGGACCUGUACUGACGCUCAUGCACGAAAGCGUGGGGAGCAAACAGGAUUAGAAACCCUAGUAGUCC